UUCAUCAUGUGAUGAAAUCUUGAAACGAAAUCUUAGGACACCUUCCUACACAGCACCAUUUACCGGGCUGUGGAUGAGAAAACGUUUCAGUUCUGAUGAUAAA